rnacentral:ribozyme from 14 species
GACGAGAAAAAAAUGCAUCAUGAAAACAUAAGCAUGCUAUGUGUAUGCUACAUUACUUACUGCCGCUUUCCUUUGCUCUUCUCUCUCUGCCUCUUUCUUUUCAUCAAGCAUGUCCGCCUCAUCAUCCUUCUUCUUGAAAAAAGUUUCUUCAGCAAACUUCUGAGCUUCCUCUAAACUAUCAGUGACGAUAAUGUCAUCGAAU